rnacentral:tRNA from 1 species
GGAGCCGUGCCGGAGCGGCCGAACGGACAUCACUGCUAAUGAUGGGUCUGGGUUAUACCGGACCGCGGGUUCAAAUCCCGCCGGCUCCGCCA